rnacentral:rRNA from 1 species
UACGGAGGGGGCUAGCGUUGUCCGGAAUCAUUGGGCGUAAAGCGCGCGUAGGCGGCCCGGUAAGUCCGCUGUGAAAGUCAAAGGCUCAACCUUUGAAUGUCAGCGGAUACUGCCGGGCUAGAGUCCGGAAGAGGCGAGUGGAAUUCCUGGUGUAGCGGUGGAAUGCGCAGAUAUCAGGAGGAACACCAGCGGCGAAGGCAGCUCGCUGGGACGGUACUGACGCUGAGGCGCGAAAGCGUGGGGAGCGAACAGG